UGUCAUUUUUCACAAAGUAAUUUGGUUAAAAAGCAAAUGAGUAAUUAUUAAACAGUAGUCGCGACGGCAGGAAAAAGAAGGGAAAAUGAAAAGAAAAAUAAAUGAACUCUUGUUUCAAGCAGAUGACUAAGAACACCCCAACACGGACUCCUCGUAGCCGGACCCGGACUUGCCUCCUUCCCCACUCCACUCCAUUCAUCAAUGACUAAAUAAUGGACUGGCUUCUACAGCUUCUCUUAAUAUUAACUGUGAAUGCUUUUUGAUCUCACUUUUUGAAUUACAUGCUACAACGCCCGCCCAUUUGUGUAGUUAACUAACAA